rnacentral:rRNA from 1 species
CAUGCGCCCUUCGGGGGAAAGCCGGGGACCGUAAGGCCUGGCGCGAUUGGAUGAGCCCAUGUCGGAUUAGCUAGUUGGCGGGUAACGCCCACCAAGGCGACGAUCCGUAGCUGGUCUGAGAGGAUGAUCAGCCACACUGGAACUGAGACACGGUCCAGACUCCUACGGGAGGCAGCAGUAGGGAAUAUUGGACAAUGGGCGCAAGCCUGAUCCAGCCAUGCCGCGUGAGUGAAGAAGGCCCUCGGGUUGUAAAGCUCUUUUGUCCGGAAAGAAAAGCACUGGGUUAAUACCCCGGUGUCCUGACGGGUACCGGAAGAAUAAGCACCGGCCAACUUCGUG